rnacentral:rRNA from 1 species
UACGUAGGGGGCGAGCGUUGUCCGGAUUUAUUGGGCGUAAAGAGCUCGUAGGCGGCUUGGCAAGUCGGGUGUGAAACCUCCAGGCUCAACCUGGAGACGCCACUCGAUACUGCCAUGGCUAGAGUCCGGUAGGGGACCACGGAAUUCCUGGUGUAGCGGUGAAAUGCGCAGAUAUCAGGAGGAACACCGGUGGCGAAGGCGGUGGUCUGGGCCGGUACUGACGCUGAGACGCGAAAGCGUGGGGAGCGAACAGG